ensembl:lncRNA
AGGUGUGUUGUUGUGGCUGCUUUGUGUGGUCAGAGGUGAUGAGGGAAGAUUUGGGGACUAGCUGCUGGUGAGUCUUCACUGCUGAAGGUAAAUUUGGGGCUCUGAUUGCUGAAGGUAUUGCUGGAACAAGUGCAGAUCCAAUCCUCUGUAAGUUUUCACUGAUUUCACUAAUUAAUAGCCCAGUGAUCAGAAAAUACUCUGAAGAAGCCACUGAAAAUGUGUCACCAGAAAGAGUGAGCCUUUCUCUAAAGCUUUUACUAGCUUUUCUCUCUGCAGUGAGUAUACCCAGAGGUAUUCAGCUCCUGAUUUUUUUUUUCCCCGAAGAAACUAUUGGCAGGGUUGUGGCUGCUGUUGUAGUCUCCCUUCUAUGGCCUCUGCACCUUGUCAUUCUUCCCAGUGUCUCCUGUUCUUUUGUUUUAUUUUCCCAUGCUAUGUGCCUCAUGAAUAGAGGGUGAUGUUAUUCAUCUUCUAUGAGCUAGAGGCAAGUGGGCCUGCCAUCAGCAGAUACUGUGUGCAUCUCCAAUAGUUCUCGUGUCAGCUGUUCGAAGCCAUGCAGACUCAGUCCAUGUGAGUGUGUUCUGCCACUGGUGGCAGCAGCAAGGACAGCUCUCUGAGCUUCUUUUCGUUCUCUCCUGCCAGUGAACUCCUGGCUAUUGAAGACCAGUGUUUGUCACCACUGAAAGGAAAAAGCAUGCAGCUUUAUAUGUGUACAUCUGUAGUUUGUCAUCUCCUGAAUCAGUUUUAGAACUAUUAACAGCUGUUUUGACAUGGGAAUCCUUUUUGACUGUUUUGACUUUAGCUGAUGACUUCUUGAAACAAUAGAUCCUAAAAUAUAAUGACAUAUUUGGUCACUCUUAGACUACUAAAAUCAUCAGGAAAAUGUCAAGAUGCACUCUGAUUAGUUAAACUUAAUGACUGAGAAUAUUUCAACAGAAAGUUGCUAUUUGAGAAGGGAAUGGGAAAUGUGCUUAAGAUUUUCAUUAUCUUUGACAUCAGAUGAGAGCUUUAAUGCUCAAGAGUCAGGACGUGGAAAAAGAUCAAGUAAUGCUUGUCAUUGUCUUGACAAAUAUCCCAAUAUACCCUGCCAAACAUUUCUCCUCUCUUUGUCUGGGGAUGUGAAGACAAAUACAGAAUAUUUGUGCUGUUGAAAAUAACUGGUGAAAUGCAAUAGAUUUGUACAGCUGAGCUGCACAAAUGGCUUGGCAAUUCUAUCCCUUCCAACUAUGCAGAAAAAAUAUGGUUCAGAAACAUAUUGGGGAAAAUUAGUCAAAUCUACAUAAAGAAUUUGAAAAAAUGGAAUUAUAAACUACAGACUUCUUCUGAGUCCUGACUUGUUGAUGCUCAGAAAGUUCAGUUCUCUGUGGUAGUGUAUUUUUACCUUCGCAUGUGAGAAGUAAUAUACCUUCUUGGCACUCCUUUUUCCUUUAAAUAGCAAAAAAAAAAAUCUCUACAGUACUGUCUACAAAUGUCAGUGAAAGAACUGACUUAAAUGGUGCUGGAUGUCACCUUUAUGCUUUGUGUGUUGGAGGAGGAAGAUGCUUUGUGACUACUGUGGUUUACAGUUCACAGAAUGAGAAUAUGAAAAAGCAGUUUCAGGCUUUCAUCAAAACAACUGUAAUGAUGGGCUCAAAACACCAUAACAUUUAAUGUAGAAAUAAUGUUCUCUAUCAGCAAAAAAAAAAUGCAAAAAACCACUGCUUGUAUGUAAACUGCCAUAGUAUUGUGUAGCUUAAUUUAUAGUUCUGGAUGCUGAUCAAAUGUCUGUGGCCAGACAAGUGUAUGAAAAACUGGAAAAUGGCUGAAAAGUUUUCAUAAAACUGAGGAGUAACUUGAAAAACAUUUCAUAAGUGAAUAAUGGAAUGAAUUGUUUUGACUUCAGGAUCAACCUUUUUAUUCAUACAGUAUGAAAAGAAUAAUGACUCUUUCCCUGUGCUUGCAAUAAGCCUCACAUUCAUUCAAAUAAAGAAUCAU